rnacentral:rRNA from 1 species
UACGGGGGGGGCAAGCGUUGUUCGGAAUUACUGGGCGUAAAGGGCUCGUAGGUGGCCAACUAAGUCAGACGUGAAAUCCCUCAGCUUAACUGGGGAACUGCGUCUGAUACUGGAUGGCUUGAGUUUGGGAGAGGGAUGCGGAAUUCCAGGUGUAGCGGUGAAAUGCGUAGAUAUCUGGAGGAACACCGGUGGCGAAGGCGGCAUCCUGGACCAAUAUUGACGCUGAGGAGCGAAAGCCAGGGGAGCAAACAGG